rnacentral:rRNA from 1 species
GACGAACGCUGGCGGCGUGCUUAACACAUGCAAGUCGAACGGUAAGGCCCUUCGGGGUACACGAGUGGCGAACGGGUGAGUAACACGUGAGUAAGGUGCCCUUGACUCUGUGAUAACAGCCGGAAACGGUUGCUAAUACCGUAUAUACACAUGUGCCUGCAUGGGUGUGUGUGGAAAGCUUUUGCGGUCUUGGAUCAACUCGCGGCCUAUCAGCUUGUUGGUGGGGUAAUGGCCUACCAAGGCUUCGACGGGUAGCCGGCCUGAGAGGGCGACCGGCCACACUGGGACUGAGAUACGGACCAGACUCCUACGGGAGGCAGCAGUGGGGAAUAUUGCACAAUGGGCGGAAGCCUGAUGCAGCAGCGCCGCGUGCGGGAUGACGGCCUUCGGGUUGUAAACCGCUUUCAGUAGGGACGAAGCGCAAGUGACGGUACCUACAGAAGAAGCACCGGCCAACUACGUG